rnacentral:rRNA from 1 species
UGAUGGAGCCAAUUAGAAUUCAUUAGUGGAAAAAGCGCUAAGAAAAAUGUAAUAGAAGAUAAUGACACCAUAUUACGAAGAGUACAGACCAAUGGCCGUGCCAGCUGUUGCGGUAAAACGGCUUGUACGAACGUUAGUCUACUUAAAUUGGCAUAUAGGGUUCGUAGAUGUUCUCAUUCAAGUUUCCCUUUUUGGAAUAUAAUGAAUAUUGUUUAAUAGGAUUUAUUGCUGGUCACAAUUUUAAGGAUGAUUAAAUGAUAUUUGUCAUAUGAUUAUAUAUAAAAUAUGACGCAAUUAUGAAUUUUGCUAACACCUAAAAAAAAAAUAGCCCUCCUAUUUUGAAAUAGUUCUUUUCUUUACGAGUGCAAUAAGAAUUUAUUUCCCUAUGGGAGACAUAGCGCUUUUUUUUU